UUUUGCUGGAGCCUGCGACCGAGUGGGAGUGGAGUGGAGCGGCUGUGGUUGCCGACUCUUUCCUCUUCCCCACGGUCCAGUCAGCGGGUUAAUUAGGCCAUCGGCCCUCGAGCCGAGACUUGUCUCUUAUUUAGUUCUGGGGAGCGCCUCGUCGACAUGAGUGAUGUGGAGGAAAACAACUUCGAGGGCAGAGUGAGUACAAAGCCGCGGGAGCCGUCUAGGCGGCGGCCCAAUGCUCGGGGUUUCACGGGAACAAGCGCGGUCGGGCGGGGUUGCGGGUAGUCCCGCGAGGAGCAACCUCUGGAGCCAUCGCGAUUGAUUCCUCCCAUCCCAAGAUGGCUUCUGGGUUCCACUCCUUCCCCAAACACCACGGAUAACACCCCUCCCCCUUUUUUGGAGGCUGACUGAUACCUGGACUUCUGGGUCCUCUUCCCUCCCCGCCCCCGCAUUGCUUCCUCCCUUCUCCCCACCCCUGAGGCUUCCUUAUGUCUGCUCCGAGGUGUGGGUCCCCGUCGCGGUUGGGCGGGAGGAGGCGGCAGGGAGCUCCCCUCCGUCCGGAUAGUGGUUAAUGUUCGUGAAGAAAUUGAAGAGUUUUUUCCAAGAAUGUGGAAGAUAAAUCAAGAUAAAAGAAGGCUAAUGAAAAGUAUUAAAGAUCAGAAAAUUAAAAUUGAAUGGGGGAAAAAAUUGAACAGAAGAUUGGUCAGAUAGAAGCACUUGAAUAUUUUUUUAAGGCUAUUUUGAAUUGUUUGAAUUGGGGAAGAAUACACGAAGUAUGAAAAAUGAAAAACUCAAUGAAGAAUGAAGAGAAGUAGAAAGCAAGAGUGAAGUAGAAUUAAAAGAAUCUGGAAGAAUGAAUGGGUCCUAGGUUAAGUAAAUGUAUGGUUUAUGUUCCAGUGUCUGUAUGAUCAAGUUGUAGAUGAAUUUGCAUGAUUACUUAGUUAAUAGAGAAUUGGUGAUCUGGUUCAAGUAGGGAAUUAUUGAGGACAGUUAGCAGUAUUAACAGUGGGUUAUUAUUGAGCUGAAAUUUUUUCUGGAGGGUGUUGUCUAACCAUUUGUUUUUCAGGAGCAAUCAAUAUAAAUAAUUACGGUACUUUAAAUGUUAGGUGUUAGGCAUCUACAUGACCAGUGCCAUUUGUAAUACUGUCUUCUUUGUUAGGAGUCUCGCUCUCAGUCAAAAUCUCCAACGGGAACUCCUGCUCGUGUAAAAUCGGAGAGCAGGUCAGGAUCUCGUAGUCCAUCAAGGGUUUCCAAACACUCUGAAUCCCAUUCUCGAUCAAGAUCAAAAUCCAGGUCGAGGUCAAGGAGACAUUCUCAUAGACGUUACACUCGAUCCAGAUCCCACUCUCACUCUCAUAGGAGACGAUCUCGAAGUAGAUCAUAUACACCAGAAUACCGGCGGCGAAGGAGCCGAAGCCAUUCUCCAA
rnacentral:lncRNA from 1 species